AACGAACGCUGGCGGCGCGCCUAAUACAUGCAAGUCGAGCGAGAAGACGUAGCGAAUACGUUUGUAAAGCGGCGAACGGGUGAGGAAUACAUCGGGUAACCUACCCUCGAGUGGGGAAUAACUAGCCGAAAGGUUAGCUAAUACCGCGUACGCUCCUUGGACUUCGGUUCAGGGAGGAAAGCGAUACCGUGGGUAUCGCGCUCAUGGAUGGGCUCAUGUCCUAUCAGCUUGGUUGGUGAGGUAACGGCUCACCAAGGCUUCGACCGGGUAGCUGGUCUGAGAGGACGAUCAGCCACACU
rnacentral:rRNA from 1 species